GCAGGAGUCAGACCUACCACUCAAAGCACUCUCUUGUGGAUAUAAGCUGUGCUUCUGCUAGGAGGAUUUGCCAAAACAGAUAUACUGGCAAAGCAGCUAAGGUGGGAGGAAGCCAAGAAUUCCAAAGUUGUCUGUGACAUACUGCCUUCGUCACUGGUCACCCUGCCACUGAUGGGGACCAGCUCUUGCCUUUUGCUCACCACUACAAAUGCCACUGCCUUGAGAAUUACUGACGUUGUCACUGAGGGGGCUAUAGUUGUAUUAUGGAGAAAUCCAGAACUCAGAGCCAAUUCAUCUGUUUUGCUCUCCCAGGAACAGUGAUGUUUAUUUUGAAAGGAAUCUUUCAGUGAUGUUUUCCAAUAAAAAAAAAAAAACAACCCUGAAACAAUUCUUAUCCUGCAGGGCUUAUUGUAUUACAUAGUCAUACAACUUCUGAAAGGUUAUACAUGGGACUCACAUUUGAACCGUCAUCAGACAAUAGUUCAGACUCAACAUCAAACAGAAGGGCUACUGUUUAAAGAGAUGAUCUAAAUUGACUCUUUCAUUGCUAAUAGGACAUUCAUGGCUCCAUGUACUCAGUCAGCAGGGGAUGGAGUGUCUUGCUUGUUCAGAUACACUGUCUGCUGCUACAGGCCUGGAAAAAUUUGCUUGUGCUUCCAACCAGAAGUCUCUGGAGGAUUCAGGAGCCUCCAACAAAACUUUUCUGAAAUAGUGUUGAAAUAAAAAAUGUUCACCUGUCCAGAACACUGAUUAAACCUAAAUUAAACCUGAA